UGGUAUCUUUAUUUCACGUAAAUCCAGGUCUGAUCGUGACGAAUCUGCGGACGAAACAUCUGGAGACGGAAACUAUCGCCAGUUAACCUGAUCACCAGUUAAAUUGGAACACCGGGUCACUAUGCUGCAUACAGUUACACACUGCCUCGUACGAUUGAGACAAGGAAACUUGGAAUGACUUUUCAUAGGUUUCCCAGAGACUAUGGGUUGAGGAGGAAUUGGAAGUUUGUCGGCUUAGACCUGGUGUUAUUCCAUCAGUGUUAAACUUCCCGGCUCAUCUUGGAAGAGUACGUGCCAGAAAGACCACGACCAAGCAGCCUUGAGAUCUUAGGCAGCGUCUCCCUGAGUUCAAAGGUCCCUCUCUAUCUCCCCACACAUCCAUCAACCACUGGAACACAUCUCCAAAGUUCUGCUGGACCAGCUCAGCUUCCCCUCAGAAGAAGUGGCGCCACCUGCCAGAUGAAGGAGCCUUUUGAGAGGCAGCUGGCAUCGUGAUUGGACUGUACUUUGGUCUGUUCCAAUCCAGCUUCAGCUCCAGAGACGGCAGGCGGGACGAGUCAACGGAGGCCGGGUGGAUGAAGACAUGCAGCUGAGUACAAUCCAGAAAACAACAGAGGAGAAGUGCAGCGACCCAGAGCCAGAACAACCAGAGUAGCAUCACCAAAGAACUACAGACUCUUCACAACCUGCUCAAACUCUUGGUACAGGACCUCACCACACGGGUCAAGAAGGUUUCUGUCUCAUUUCUACUCUGAAGAUCACCGUCUCCUGCUCAAACUGCUGACAAAUGUUUCUGCUGCUCUAAAGUCUGGUCUCCAGAACUUCCUAAAAACUCUCAAAGGCUCUUCUGCUGCAGGUUGCUAUGUAGAACUGUUCCAGAAAACCUCACUAAACCACAUGGAGGGGCCUCAAGAUAGUCGUCCAGAUGAAACCAUACAAAAACCAAACUAGCACAACCCAAACGCUAAAGUCUCCUGCAGCCUACCAGAGAACCUCUGAGAACAGAGAAUCAGGACAGGAACUCUUACCUUCUGGACAACCAACGUUGAUUCACAAACAAGAAUACAGAAUGUGUCUGACCAAAAACCUCUGAAGACUCACUACAGCCAAGAUAAAGACACAACUCAGCUGUACCAAAUCCACUAAUCACUGCACACAUUAGCACCAUGUGCUAACUGUGGCUAAAGAACCUCAUUUACCAAGACAACUAUCCAGUACAAAGCCCUAAAACACACCAAGAAACACAUUAAGGACGAUUUUACUGCUGGAAGCUGCAAGCCAACGCCUAAAGAACAAACUAUAGCAAUGGAGCCAAACCCGGUCGUGUGGUGGAGAGAAGCAGAGGAAAUGUUUGUCUGCAGCUACAUAAAGCAGGAAGACACUGAGCUGCUCAGGUGUUCCUGAUAACACCAAGCAGCCACCUGGACAGCCAAUAGGAACACAGCUUACUGGAAGUCCAAAGGCCUGGCUUAGUGAAGGAAAUUUAAUUUAAAGUUGAAGCAGAAAGUUAACAAAGAAAGUUGAAAACCACCUUCUGAUACCUGAAAUCUCCGAGUUUUCACACAAAGAACACCUGAACAUGUCAAACUGGUUCCAUAGUAGAACCCUCAUUGUAAAAACGUCAUAGUAUGGUGUGUUGCUCAAAAAACAUUAGGACCCGGACCCAAAUAUUGUCAGCGGUUAAUAUGCUCUGAAAUGACGGUUAGGACGUGGAUGACUGAAUGAGUUUUUAUUGUUUUCUGAGUGACUAGUUUAAACAACGUGGUCUCAGAUUGUUCCGAUGUAUUUUAGCAAAUAAAGCUAAUGUUCUGCUGCAUGUUGUAAAGUUGGCAAGAUAUUCACAGAUUCGGACUUCCGGCCUCAAUAACUCAUGGGAUAUACGUUGUAAAAACAUAAACAAUGCCUCUUUCAAAUCGUUGUAAGCUAGACAAUGUGCUACAAGGCCAGUUUUAUCAAAACUCGCUGUCUUUCAAGCUGCAGAAAUAACAUUGAUGUCUAUGAGCAGCCGGCUGUGCGACGAGUGAACAGGGACCGUCUGCAAAUAGCAAAACCGCUGCAACAGCGAAGAGAGGCACUACACAAAUAUUCAAUAACUUAACUUUUAUACACUGUAGCGUCACCAAAUUUACUGGAGCCAUCAAUUGUGUCUUGCUGGUCAUACUACAAGUCUUGGUUUGAUACUAAAUACAAAAUCUGAAUGUUAAGGAAUUUUCAUUAUUUAAUUAUUAUUUUAUUAGUCAUAAAAUUCAAUAACUUCACUCUUAUAUACUGUAGAGUCACCAAAAUCAUUGGAGCCAUCAAUUGUGUCUUUCUGGUCAUACUACAAUUCUUGGUUUGAUGCUAAAUACAAAAUCUGAAUUUUAAGGAAUUUUUAUUAUUGUCUUAUUUUAUUAGUCAUAAAAUUCAAUAACUUCACUCUUAUAUACUGUAGUGUCACCAAAUUUACUGCAGCCAUCAAUUGUAUCCUGCUGAUCAUACUACAACUCUUGGUUUGAUGCUAAAUACAAAAUCUGAAUUUUAAGGAAUUUUUAUUGGUAAUAAAAUUCAAUAACUUCACUCUUAUACAUUGUAUUGUCACCAAAAUCAGUGGAGCCAUCAAAUGACUCCUACUGCUCAUACUACAACUCUUGGUUUGAUAUAAAAACAUUCUUUUAUAAUUUUAAUGAAUUUUAUUAUUUUAUUAGUAAUUCAAUUCAAUAACUUCACUCUUAUGUACUGUAGUGUCAUCAAAUUCACUGGAGCCAUCAGUUGGCUCCUGAUUGUCAUACUACAAGUCUUGGUUUGGUAAUAAAUCAAAAGUCUGAAUUUUAA